UUAAAUUGAAGAGUUUGAUCAUGGCUCAGAUUGAACGCUGGCGGCAGGCCUAACACAUGCAAGUCGAGCGGUAGCACAGAGAGCUUGCUCUCGGGUGACGAGCGGCGGACGGGUGAGUAAUGUCUGGGAAACUGCCUGAUGGAGGGGGAUAACUACUGGAAACGGUAGCUAAUACCGCAUAACGUCGCAAGACCAAAGUGGGGGACCUUCGGGCCUCAUGCCAUCAGAUGUGCCCAGAUGGGAUUAGCUAGUAGGUGGGGUAACGGCUCACCUAGGCGACGAUCCCUAGCUGGUCUGAGAGGAUGACCAGCCACACUGGAACUGAGACACGGUCCAGACUCCUACGGGAGGCAGCAGUGGGGAAUAUUGCACAAUGGGCGCAAGCCUGAUGCAGCCAUGCCGCGUGUGUGAAGAAGGCCUUCGGGUUGUAAAGCACUUUCAGCGGGGAGGAAGGCGAUAAGGUUAAUAACCUUGUCGAUUGACGUUACCCGCAGAAGAAGCACCGGCUAACUCCGUGCCAGCAGCCGCGGUAAUACGGAGGGUGCAAGCGUUAAUCGGAAUUACUGGGCGUAAAGCGCACGCAGGCGGUCUGUCAAGUCGGAUGUGAAAUCCCCGGGCUCAACCUGGGAACUGCAUUCGAAACUGGCAGGCUAGAGUCUUGUAGAGGGGGGUAGAAUUCCAGGUGUAGCGGUGAAAUGCGUAGAGAUCUGGAGGAAUACCGGUGGCGAAGGCGGCCCCCUGGACAAAGACUGACGCUCAGGUGCGAAAGCGUGGGGAGCAAACAGGAUUAGAUACCCUGGUAGUCCACGCCGUAAACGAUGUCGAUUUGGAGGUUGUGCCCUUGAGGCGUGGCUUCCGGAGCUAACGCGUUAAAUCGACCGCCUGGGGAGUACGGCCGCAAGGUUAAAACUCAAAUGAAUUGACGGGGGCCCGCACAAGCGGUGGAGCAUGUGGUUUAAUUCGAUGCAACGCGAAGAACCUUACCUGGUCUUGACAUCCACAGAACUUAGCAGAGAUGCUUUGGUGCCUUCGGGAACUGUGAGACAGGUGCUGCAUGGCUGUCGUCAGCUCGUGUUGUGAAAUGUUGGGUUAAGUCCCGCAACGAGCGCAACCCUUAUCCUUUGUUGCCAGCGGUUAGGCCGGGAACUCAAAGGAGACUGCCAGUGAUAAACUGGAGGAAGGUGGGGAUGACGUCAAGUCAUCAUGGCCCUUACGACCAGGGCUACACACGUGCUACAAUGGCAUAUACAAAGAGAAGCGACCUCGCGAGAGCAAGCGGACCUCAUAAAGUAUGUCGUAGUCCGGAUUGGAGUCUGCAACUCGACUCCAUGAAGUCGGAAUCGCUAGUAAUCGUAGAUCAGAAUGCUACGGUGAAUACGUUCCCGGGCCUUGUACACACCGCCCGUCACACCAUGGGAGUGGGUUGCAAAAGAAGUAGGUAGCUUAACCUUCGGGAGGGCGCUUACCACUUUGUGAUUCAUGACUGGGGUGAAGUCGUAACAAGGUAACCGUAGGGGAACCUGCGGUUGGAUCACCUCCUUACC
rnacentral:rRNA from 1 species